rnacentral:RNase_P_RNA from 2 species
AAAGUCAGUUAGACGAUCGCUCUAGGCAUUUAUGUCUGGGGAGGAAAGUCCGGGCUCCAUAGGGCAGAGUGCCAGGUAACACCUGGGGGGCGUGAGUCUACGGAAAGUGCCACAGAAAAUAUACCGCCAAUCCAGUUUAGGCUGGUUUGGUAAGGGUGAAAAGGUGCGGUAAGAGCGCACCGCAUAAUUGGUAACAGUUAUGGCAUGGUAAACCCCGCUCGGAGCAAGACCAAAUAGAAACCCAGCUGAUCUUCGGAUUAGACACAUACGGCCCGUAUGGGGUUUGGGUAGGUUGCUUGAGGUACGCGGUGACGUGUAUCCCAGAUGAAUGAUUGUCCACGACAGAACCCGGCUUAUCGACUGACUUUUACC